CCUACGGGAGGCAGCAGUGGGGAAUAUUGCACAAUGGGGGGAACCCUGAUGCAGCGACGCCGCGUGGGUGAAGGAGUACUUCGGUACGUAAAGCCCUAUCAGCAGGGAAGAAAAUGACGGUACCUGACUAAGCAGCCCCUGCUAACUACGUGCCAGCAGCCGCGGUAUUACGUAGGGGGCAAGCGUUAUCCGGUUUUACUGGGGGUAAAGGGAGCGUAGACGGCAGGGCAUGUCAGGAGUGAAAGCCCGGGGCUCAACCCGGGGACUGCUCCGGACACUGUAAAGCUGGAGUGCGGGAGGGGCAGGCGGAAUUCCUGGUGUAGCGGUGAAAUGCGUAGAUAUCAGGAGGAACACCGGCGGCGAAGGCGGCCUGCUGGACCGUAACUGACGUUGAGGCUCGAAAGCGUGGGGAGCAAACAGGAUUAGAUACCCUGGUAGUC
rnacentral:rRNA from 1 species